GACAACUUGGAGGACGGUCAGAAAAGUGUUCCUGAACCUGAAACGACUUUUACUCAUCAUUGUGGUUUUCCUGGACACAAACCUGUCAGAACAUCAAGGAGGAGUUCCACAGGAUUGCAGGAUUUCCCAGUGUGAUUGGCUGCAUAGAUGCACACACAUCCCCAUCACAGCUCCCUCACAUCAUGAACAGGAAGUCCAUUCACAGCAUAAAUGUGCAGGUAGGCUACAGGUAGACUGAUUACUGUUUCUAAAUGUUAAAGACUGCAUCAUAGUUCAACAUCUGUCAUUCUCUGCACUGUCCAGAUCAUAUGUGAUGCUGCAUACAUCAUUUCUAAUGUGGAGGCCACGUGGUCUGGGUCUGUUCAUGACUCCAGGAUUUAUGGAGAGUCUAACCUGAGCAACAGACUGCAGCAUGGAGAGUUUGAUGGCCUUCUGCUGGGUGACAGGGGUUACCAUGCCAACCCAGGCUGAUGACCUCAUACCCUGACCCUGAACCAGGCCCCCAACAGAACUUCAACCGGACUCACUGCAGGACCAGAGCCCGGGUGGAGAUGACCAUAGGCCUGCUGAAAGCCCGUUUCCAGAGCCUACGUCUCCUCAGGGUGACCCCUGAGAGGGCCUGUGAUAUUACUGUGGCAUGUGUUGUUCUUCAUAAUAUUACCACUAUUAG